ensembl:lncRNA
AGGAUUGGAUCCAACAGCUCUCAGAACCUCCUCAGGAACUAUGUGUUUCCCAAGGAUUACCUGCACUUGCUUACACACCCCUAUCCUGUGUUCUGAAAACUUUUCAAAGCCCAUUCUUCUGAGACUGGAAUGACUCUGCAUGUGGUCAACACAAACUACCCUGGAAGACCAGAGAGUUCAAGGACGGCCAAAUUUCACUUAAGCAAACUUUUUCACAGACUGUGUGGGUCCCAUCAGCAGAGAGUUGCCUCCACAUUGCAAUGAUGUGCAAACUUCUGCCAUUCAGCCAUGAUGGACUUUAGGAUCUACCCUGAGGACCCUACACAAGCCACAGGACCUCCUCUGUCACAGGACAUCCACUGUUUAAGCACCACCACUACCUCAGGAAGUCCACUGUCUGUGUGUCAACUUCACUGUUACAGGACCACAAGUGUCUCAGCACUUCAACUAUCACAGCACUUCUACUGUUCAGGAGCUCAAGAGUCUCAGCAUCUCAAGUGUCACAGGACCUCCUUUGUCCAAGAACUGGACUGUCCAAGCAACACUACUAUUGCAGGACUUCCACUGUAGGAGCACUACAACUGUCUCAGGACACCCACUGUCCUAUAACCUCCACUAUCCCAGGAAUUCCACUGUCGUAGCACCACCCGUAGCAACUAAAGUGUUUCAGGACAUCAACUGAAGCAAGAUCUCCCAUGAUUCUGCAACUUCACUGCCACAGGAUCUC